rnacentral:rRNA from 1 species
AAGCCUGAUGCAGCCAUGCCGCGUGUAUGAAGAAGGCCUUCGGGUUGUAAAGUACUUUCAGCAGUGAGGAAGGUGGAUAUGUUAAUAGCAUAUUCAUUUGACGUUAGCUGCAGAAGAAGCACCGGCUAACUCCGUGCCAGCAGCCGCGGUAAUACGGAGGGUGCGAGCGUUAAUCGGAAUUACUGGGCGUAAAGCGCAUGCAGGUGGUUUGUUAAGUCAGAUGUGAAAGCCCGGGGCUCAACCUCGGAAUUGCAUUUGAAAACUGGCAAACUAGAGUACUGUAGAGGGGGUAGGAAUUUCAGGUGUAGCGGUGAAAUGCGUAGAGAUCUGAAGGAAUACCGGUGGCGAAGGCGGCCCCCUGGACAGAUACUGACACUCAGAUGCGAAAGCGUGGGGAGCAAACAGGAUUAGAUACCCUGGUAG